rnacentral:tRNA from 1 species
GAAGUAGUAGUUUAGUAGUUAAAACAGUUGAUUUUCAAUCACCAGUUUCUAUUUCG